rnacentral:lncRNA from 1 species
UUUUUUUUUUUUUUUUUGCAACGCUAUAUCCUAUUCAAAGGCUUCAGAAACAACACAGACAUGUAAGACAUCGCAGAGGAGAGAAACCCUAUGAAUGUACUCAAUGUGGUAAAGCCUUUUCAUUUCCCAGUCAUCUCCAAUAUCAUAAAAGAAGACAUUCUGGAGAGAAGCCUUAUGAAUGUAAUCAAUGUGCUAAAGCCUUUGCAGAUCACACUGAGCUCCAAAGCCAUCAAAGAACACAUACUGGAGAGAAACCUUAAGAACACAAUCAAUGUGUAGAACCUAUUCACAAGGGAGACGUCUCCAAAGACAAAAGAAGACAUUCUGCAGAGAGACCUUAUGAAUAUAACCAAUGUGGUAAAAGCCUUUUCACAAAGUUCUUGUCUUUAAAAACAUAAAAGAACCCAUAUAGGACAGAAACUUUAUGAAUGUAAUCAAUGUGCUAAAGCUUUUGCAUAUCUCAGUAGUCUUCAAAACAUAAGCGAUCCCAUACUGGAAAGAAAUGUCAUGAAUGUAAUCAAUGUGUAAAGACCUUUUACAACUUUGUAGUCUCCAGUAGUAUAAAAAGAAUUUUUAAAAAAUCAGAUACAGGAGAGAAACCGUGUGAAUGUAAUCACUGCUGUAAACCCCUUUCCUGUUGCAGUUAUCUGCAACAACAUAAGAGAAUACAUACAAGAGAGAA